rnacentral:lncRNA from 1 species
AGAAGUGGAAGGACCAUGAUGCUGAGUUUACUCGAGGAAGAUCGAAUCGACGGUGAAGAUCGAGCGACGAGCAAGUGGAGUACGCUGAAACAACGGCUGAGAUUUGAUUGGGUUGGCUGUUGCGGUGGACCCACCUUGCUGCGUCUCAGAGGAUCAGAAGCACCAGUCGCCGAGGAAGACGAAGAUGACGAGGAGGAGGAAGAAACCUCGGGUCAAAACCGGGUCGUUAACUUGUCGAAUUCGGUUCGGGAUCCGGGUUUGGUUGUGGACACGGAGUGUUUAACACGAGGCACAAGGAAUCUCGCGGAGGCUCUUGCGGAGGAGAGACUAGCGCGGGGCGAGAACGUGACGGAGGCUUCGGUUGCUAAGGUACCGUUGAUGAAAUUGCUUGCGGAAACGGAGAGUUGCGAUGCGACCACGUGGACCGGUGCUGAUCCUUUGUGUUGCGUGUGUAUGGGAAGGGAGAAAGGUGCGGCGUUUAUCCCAUGUGGGCAUACGUAUUGUAGAGUGUGUUCAAGGGAGAUUUGGAUGAACCGUGGAUCGUGUCCUCUUUGUAACCGUUCCAUAUUUGACGUUCUUGAUCUUUACUGAAAAAAAAUACAUUGAUGUAUUGUUGUUAUGUUCUGAUCGACGGUAAAGUUCAAGUCUCUUUGUGCAUAUUUUGAUUGCAGUUUCAAUAAAAGGAUGAUGUAUUAUUGGUGGGUCAUAGACAUUGUGGUAAUAAAAUAGUUUGUUUAGACGAAUGGAAUUAUUUAAGUUCCGUUGUGAAGAAUAAUAGUUCAAUUCACUCUAGUGCAAAGUAUAUGAUUAUAGAAAAUACAGACUAGGCCUCUUUAUACAUGUUGUCACUUAUUAGGCCUGAACAAAUAUUUGAGUUUUGAUUGGUUACAUGUUGUAUUAGAGUUGAUUUACAAUAAAAUAUACAAUUCAAAGUAACUCGCAGUAAAAAUUAUGCGGUAGAAACUAUAGAUUUAUGUAGUGAGUUCAAAGUAAAAAUAUGAAUGAUUAACUUUUAAAAAUAACUGACUGGUAACAUUUUCGAUGAAUAAAUUGUAUUAAUUUUAUUUUAAAUAAUAACAUUUAUGAUAUAUUUAAUAAAAUAGACUGAAAAUAUAAAAUAUAUAAUCGAAAAUUAAAGAAAUAUUUACUUAAUUUUGUAUAUAAAAUUUUUAGUUACAAAACAUAGUUAACAAUUAAAAUUAAAGAAAAUAUUUUUUAAAAUAAUAAUUAAUAUCAAAUAAGAAAAUCUAUAUUAUAAUAGUUGAGUUUUUGCUCACUCCUCAGCGCGCCACGUCAGCGUUUUGUAGGCUCUACUUUUAAAAAGAGUGAAAAAGUGUCAAGCCCAUGGCUCGAACCCGAAUUAUUGAGAUAUAAACACCAACAUUUAUACAACUAAGAUAAAUGAUACUUUGUACAUUGAUGGUCGAACCUAAUAUAUAUUUAUGAAGGUCGGAAGCCCUUGCUUCUUCGGCUUCCUCUGAGGGUCGGGCCUACAAGUGUAUUAUGGGUUUCAUUUUUUAAUGUGAUUCAUCACGUUAUAUGAAAAAAGCUCAAAUUUGCAACAAUUAUGGUUUUCCUAUAUUGUAAACUGUUGUCGUUUAACAUGAGUUGAGGUUCUUUUCAUCAUUGUCUCAAACAAGACUGAGUUACAGAGUUGCAGCGUGUGUGUUCGUAAUCUAUUUUUUCACCGGUGAACUCUUCAUGUCCCCAUCUUAAAUCGCUUUAUCAUAAAUGUUCCUGAUUGUUGGGGUCAAAAACAUAUACGACGAAGUUAACAUCCAAAUAUUCGUAAAAAUCAGCAUGAACACUUUUACGAAAAGUAAUCUUCGUAAAGAAAUCUUUUCGAAGAACUUUGCGGUGAAAUCUUGCACUAAUCUCGGCUGAUUCAUCGAAACUAAACACCCAUAGUCCAAGAACACGUUCAUAAAACAUCAGAACAGGGUUCAAACAAGGUCGCCGUGUAGCGACCGACCCGCGAACGAGUCGGUUGCUGCGUAGCGACCGACCGAGUGGCUUGGUCGGUCGCUACGUAGCGAUCGACCCUCGUGAGUUUUUGCUCACUGCUCAGCGCGCCACGUCAGCGUUUUAUGGGCCCCACUUUUAAAAAGUGUGAAAAAGUGUCAAGCCCAUGGCUCGAACCCGAGUUAUUGAGAUAUAAACACCAACAUUUAUACAACUAAGCUAAAUGAUACUUUGUACAUUGAUGGUCGAACCUAAUAUAUAUUUAUGAAGGUCGGAAGCCCUUUCUUCUUCGGCUUCCUCUGAGGGUCGGGCCUACAAGUGUAUUAUGAGUUUCAUUUUUUAAUGGGAUUCAUCACGUUAUAUGAAAAAAGCUCAAGUUUGCAACAAUUAUGGUUUUCAUAUAUUGUAAACCGUUGUCGUUUAACAUGAGUUGAGGUUCAUUUCAUCAUUGUCUCAAACAAGUCUGAGUUACAGAGUUGCACUGUGUGUGUUCGUAAUCUAUUUUUUCACCGGUGAACUAUUCUUGUCCCCAUCUUAAAUCGCUUUAUCAUAAAUGUUCCUGAUUGUUGGGGUCAAAAACGGACACGACGAAGUUAACAUCCAAAUAUUCGUAAAAAUCAGCAUGAACACUUUUAUGAAAAGUAAUAUUCGUAAAGAAAUCUUUUCGAAGAACUUUGCGGUGAAAUCUUGCACUAAUCUCGGCUGAUUCAUCGAAACUAAACACCCAUAGUCCAAGAACACGUUCAUAAAACAUCAGAACAGGGUCCAAACAAGGUCGCUGCGUAGCGACCGACCCGCACACGAGUUGGUCGCUACGUAGCGACCGACCAAGCCACUCGGUCGGUCGUUACGUAGCGACCGACCAAGCCAUUCGUUCAGUGGCAACGUAACGACCGAUCCAGCGCGGAUCAGGUCGCUACGUAGCGACCGAACUGUCUCGAACGUUAAUCAACGGGCACGACCCAAAUUCUUCGGCUUCCUCUGAGGGUCGGGCCUACAAGUGUAUUAUGGGUUUCAUUUUUUAAUGUGAUUCAUCACGUUAUAUGAAAAAAUCUCAAGUUUGCAACAAUUAUGGUUUUCCUAUAUUGUAAACUGUUGUCGUUUAACAUGAGUUGAGGUUCUUUUCAUCAUUGUCUCAAACAAGACUGAGUUACAGAGUUGCAGCGUGUGUGUUCGUAAUCUAUUUUUUCACCGGUGAACUCUUCAUGUCCCCAUCUUAAAUCGCUUUAUCAUAAAUGUUCCUGAUUGUUGGGGUCAAAAACAUAUACGACGAAGUUAACAUCCAAAUAUUCGUAAAAAUCAGCAUGAACACUUUUACGAAAAGUAAUCUUCGUAAAGAAAUCUUUUCGAAGAACUUUGCGGUCGACGGUGAAGAUCGAGCGACGAGCAAGUGGAGUACGCUGAAACAACGGCUGAGAUUUGAUUGGGUUGGCUGUUGCGGUGGACCCACCUUGCUGCGUCUCAGAGGAUCAGAAGCACCAGUCGCCGAGGAAGACGAAGAUGACGAGGAGGAGGAAGAAACCUCGGGUCAAAACCGGGUCGUUAACUUGUCGAAUUCGGUUCGGGAUCCGGGUUUGGUUGUGGACACGGAGUGUUUAACACGAGGCACAAGGAAUCUCGCGGAGGCUCUUGCGGAGGAGAGACUAGCGCGGGGCGAGAACGUGACGGAG